GUUCUUUUGUUUAUAUAAAAGAUUUGACCUGCCCAAUGAUUAUAUAUUUAAUGGCUGCAGUAUUUUGACUGUACAAAGGUAGCAUAAUCAUUUGUUUCUUAAUUGGAAUCUAGAAUGAAUGGUUUGAUGAAAAAUAUAUUUUCUUUAUUUUAUAUUAAAAACUUAAUUUUUUAGUCAAAAAGCUAAAAUCUUUUUAUGGGACGAGAAGACCCUAUAGAACUUUAUUUUUAAAUUUAUAUAUUUUUUAUAGAAUAUAUUUUAAGUAUAUAAAUGCUGAAUUUUGUUGGGGUGACAGAAAAAAAUUAAUAACUUUUUCUAUUUUUUUCAUUAUAAAUGAUUGAUUUUGAUCCUUUUUUAAAGAUGAAAGACUAAGUUACCUUAGGGAUAACAGCGUUAUUAUUUUAGAGAGUUCAUAUCGAUAAAAUAGUUUGCGACCUCGAUGUUGGAUUAUAAUAAGAUAUAGGAGUAGAAUAUUAUAUUCUAGGUCUGUUCGACCUUUAAACUUUUACA
rnacentral:rRNA from 1 species